rnacentral:misc_RNA from 1 species
AAGUCGUAACAAGGUUUCCGUAGGUGAACCUGCGGAAGGAUCAUUAUCGAAGCUCUCGAGCUGUGCGCCUUCGGGCUUGCACGCUUGUUGAACCUCGUCCACUCCGUGCACUUUUCCGUGGCGUCGCGAGACGCCUCGUCUUUUCUUUACUCUUUUAUGUAUGUCCUGGAUGUUUUUCUUAUUUUAUACAACUUUCGGCAACGGAUCUCUUGGCUCCC